rnacentral:lncRNA from 1 species
AAUGAUCCUUUCUCUACCAAUUUGAAUCUCGAUGUAUUUGAAGCUUCAGUCGGCGACGAAUCGAGAAUCCUUCUGACGAAAAGACGGUUGGUGACCAGAAAGUCUUGUCAGGAUGCAGUUACUUGCCUGAUCCCUAAUUUUUGCCUAGAUUGCCCCAGGGUGAGGUACUCAAUCUAUCGGGAUGCAAAUAUGCUUUUUUUUUUUCAAGUCUCUAACUUUUG